AGCGGGGAUUGUGGGAAAUGUAGUUUGGUGACUCCGCCCUCUUCGCCAUUACUGUAAUGGCUGCUUCCUGGGAGACGGUGUCACGUGGAACCUCUUAGCCUCAGCAUCCGGACUUCCAGGAAGGGAAUAUUUCAAGUCAGAUAGAAUUUAUAUCUACUGUUUCUUUGGAACCUUCAACCAUCAAGAUCCCAGCAUCAUGACCUCAGUUUCAACACAGUUGCUCUUAGUCCUCAUUUCACUGCUUUUGGUGUUGCCUGUUGUUGAAGCAGUAGAAGCUGGAGAUGCUAUCGCUCUCCUUUUAGGUGUGGUUCUCAGCAUCACAGGCAUUUGUGCUUGCUUGGGGGUGUAUGCACGAAAGAGAAAUGGACAAAUGUGACUUUAAAGGGCCUCCUGAAUCAAACCACACUCUGAAAACCUUUGUGCUGUUGAGGCUAAUCCUGAACUUUGGUGUCUGGAACUUGCCAAGAAACAGUAAAUAGGGUAGUUUCACAUUCUUAGUUGUUUCCCGUAAAAUGGGAACAAAUCAAUGUAUGUUAAAUGGGAAAAAAUGUUUUCUUUAUAACAAAUAAUGCGCUGAAAAAUGCAGCCUAUAAUUUGUAUUUGCUGGUUAGAAAGGGGGUCAAAGAAUUAAGAUGGUUGAAUUCACAUAAGUAACAUUUCAGUUUCGGAGUUCUCAAAACACAUGAAAUAAGAAGGAAGCUCUUGCCCAGAAUCCUACUUAAUUGCCACUGUUCAGUUGGAAUCACUGCCUGCCGAAUCGUCGAGGAGUCUUUUCUCCAUAUUUUCAUUAGAUUUUUGUUUUGUUAUCUCCCAAGUUAAUAUUGUACUUAGAUAUCAAAUAGUGAGCCAAUAAUUGAAACUUUUAUAUCUGGAGGGAAAAAAAGUUUAGAAAACUGUAAUUAAAUGUGUCUAAUAUUGAAAUGGAGAAAAGAUUUAAUGUUAAAAAAAAACUUUAUAUUGAAAGUGAGAUAUUUAAUGUUUUAAAAUCUUUAUAUUGAUUAGCUGAGUAACAUCUCUAUGGUGAGAAAUACCGUAUUAAAUAUAAACACAUUAUGUUGUAAGUUAA